AUGGGCUUAAAUAAGUCACACUUAUGUUGUGGCACACGUGUAUAGUUGCUCAUAUCAGAACAAUAGAAGGCGAUGUGAUUUAGUCGUCGUAAUUUGUUCAGGUAGAGCAAAAAGCCACACGUCCUAUGUAAUUUUGCGAAGAUCAUGAAAUAUCACAACAGAAGUGAAGCCACUGCAUGAAGGGAGACAGCGCCACCAUGACCCAAAUAUCCUUGUGUUUCAGCAGCAGCAGAGACAGGACUGGGAACAUGUGCGGCUUUCCAAGGGUCAGUGCUUGAGUUGGCACAUGGAGGCCAGGGAUUAGAAGCGCUGGAAGAAGAUGGCGGGGCCGACCAGGGAUUACCAACCACAGGAGGGCUGGCCUGAACCGCUGCAAGCACAGAUGAGGUUUGAUUUUCAGUCAACUGACAAGAUUGUCGGGUGCAGAUCGAUGUCUCGCCCACCUGCCGGCUCCCAGGGGCUCGAGGGAGCAUCAGAAGACACAGCAGCAGAGAUCCAGGGGUCAGUUCGAGCAGGUUGAGCUUUCGAGGAUGCACCAAAAAUAUCUACCAGAUCCAGCAUGGCGGACUAGAAAGGAGCGGAGAAUAGUUUUUUUUAGUGUGAGGUCACCAUCAUCCAAGGACUGGUUACUACAGGCGAACUAGCCGUGAGACGAGACAGUGAGUCUGACAAACGUGUGAGUCAAAGAGCUGCUAUUGAUGCAGGUAGCUUUCAGGGAAAUGCCACGCUGAGCUCAGACCCUGAUAAGACAAAGUCAUUACGAUUCAGUGGGCAUCUCUUCUUUCUCAGACCUCAUUAUGCUGAUCAGCUUUUUCUCCCCUCCCCGCCCGACUCAUUUUCCCACAGAUCACACAGCCAACUCCUCUGGCUGUAAGCCUGCCAAAAAAACCUCCCACAAAAUGAUGCACUCGCCAACCUUUCCAUGCAGAUACACGGCCGUCACGAACACGCCCACACGCACAUUUGUAACUCACCUCUCCUGUCCCCGACUGGCUCUCUCUCCUGCUCUCAUCCAGUGCUUUCUGUAGUAGGGACUCGUCUCCUUGGCGACAGUUUUUGUCCUGCAGGGGCGGCAUCAUCAACGUCAUCUCCACCACAAUUUAUACACUCACACACACACACACAAGUUGGUCCACUAUUGAUUUCUGUUACGAGAAAUGAAACAUUAAACCAGACUAGAAAAGAUCAGAAGACAGAGAGGAGAAACUUUUAUGCAGCUACAGCCAAUAAUAAGGUGCAGCUAACAGCACACUUUUUUUUUGAGAGAAAUCAUCAAUACUUAUGUUUCUGUUUCACAGAGAUGCACAAGCAUUUCAAGGAAUAAAAAUAGGUUCAUUGUGGAAACUCAGAAGACAACAGCAGUUCUUAAAACAGUACUUCAAACCUUUCUGACUAUGGCCUAUACAAUAUACAGCGCAUGUCGUCAUGGACCGAGGACACAGCAUGAGGUCAUCCAACUAUCCCUACCAUACCACAAACAGAAGCACGAAGACACCAGUUAUAGCCACUGACUACAGCACCAGCACACUGGUUGGCUCCUUAGUGAUAACUUAGGUGCCAUUAUAAUACAGAGAAAAAGCCUGUUGAGGAGUGAUUCAUGCUGUCGGGGUAAGUGAAGAUAUCAUUUCCAAAUCUCCAGCACACUGGGGAUUUCAAAUGUCAAAUUCAGCCUCUUGUUUUGAUUUUUUUUUUUUCAAAUUGGAAUACACGAGUCAUAAAAUCAUUCAAGUAUAUUAAACAAACACGGGUGAAAAUGAAUCUUGGCGCUCGUGAAACUGGUGACUCUGAACAGGGGUUGACUUAACAUUUUAAAACAGAAAAUGACAAUGAAAAACGGCAUCUAAAAAAAACAAUGAGCAACAUUAGUGCAGAAUAUUAGAAAAAUAUCUCUAUCUGAUAGAAAAGUUCUAGCACAUAAUUAAAUUUAUAAAAAGGAAGAUUCAAAUGCUUUAUUAUAUAUUUUUUAUAGAAAUGUGGAAAAUGCCAUUGAAUAAUAAUUGCAUGAAUAUGAAUGAAACACAAUAUUACAAAUAUUUUCAUUUCAGUCUAUAUGUAGAAUGCUUUGAAAAAGGAAUUUGGGCACAACAAUGGCAGGUAGAGAUCUUGAAUGUGGGUAAACGUGGACACAAUGUUGGGGAGCCCAGAUGGUGUGUGUUCAUUUAGGCCCCAAGAUUUGACAUGACUUAACUCAACAUUCAAAUUUAGUCAAAUCUUAAAAGCAACAGAGCGACAUGGAGAAAUGUGUGAGACACGCACCUUCUGACUCUCCUCUCGACUCAUGGCCAGAGCCAGCUGGAGCUGCAGCUCCUCCUCUCCGCUGGUCUGGGGUCUGGCUUGCUCCAGAUCAGAGGCGGCUCUUGGAGACGACGACGAGGCUUCAGGGGAACAGACAGACACAGGGCCCAGCUCAGUGACAGCCAAGCUGUAACAACGCAUGAGUAGAUUCUGACCGUCACUCACAGUUAAAAGAGGACGGUGAGCCUCUGGAGCGGCUGAACUCCUCCCCGUACAGCACAGCCAUGCUGGGCUGGCUGGUUCUUCUUCCCGGAUGGUAGGUUGGAGGAAUUCCUCCGUACACACUGCCUCCUCCUCCACCACCGCUGCCUCCGCCUGCCAUCCGCUCCUUGGUCUUCAGCGCUUGACUUCUCUCUUGGCGCAGCCGCUCCUCGUCCCGGAGAAGACACACCAGCUGGCGGGCUUUUUCUCUCACAUUGGCCCCCUGGUCUCGUCCAUCGCGG